GAUGAAGAACGCAGCGAAAUGCGAUAAUUAAUGUGAAUUGCAGAAUUCCGUGAAUCAUCGAGUCUUUGAACGCACAUUGCGCCCCCUGGUAUUCCGGGGGGCAUGCCUGUCCGAGCGUCAUUGCUGCCCUCAAGCACGGCUUGUGUGUUGGGCCUCCGUCCUCCUCCCGGGGGACGGGCCCGAAAGGCAGCGGCGGCACCGCGUCCGGUCCUCGAGCGUAUGGGGCUUCGUCACCCGCUCUUGUAGGCCCGGCCGGCGCUUGCCGACACAUCAAUCUUUUUUCCAGGUUGACCUCGGAUCAGGUAGGGAUACCCGCUGAACUUAAGCAUAUCAAUAAGCGGAGGA
rnacentral:misc_RNA from 1 species